rnacentral:tRNA from 1 species
AUCUUAUAGUUAAUUAAUAAUAUAAAAUUGCAAAUUUUACGUAGUAUUUAUACUAGGAUU